UGCACUAAACUGGUAUCAUCUGCUGACAUUGAGUUUGGAGAAUGCUUAAAUCCAAGUGGUGGCCCACCAUUUCAAUGGUCUUGAUCAUUGUAGGCAUUUGCUGCAUGCACGAAUGUGGUAGAGAAAAGUAAAGAACAUCGAUUUACCGUUGUUAAUCUUGAGACUAAUUACAUGGGCAAAAUUGUCCAAUACUGCUGGUGUUAUAUGUUUUAGAUGUUUUCCCCCUUGCUUUUUGUGCUAGUAUCUUUGAUGGUAUUUGCAAGUUUGUUGCAAUACAAGGCUACAUCAUCUUCAUUAUACUAACUUAAGAAUUGUAUCUCAUGUAUUUGCAAAGAUGGCAUCAUAAUGAUGAAGUGUUGCACAUGCACUGUUUCUCUUUCCUCAUGCAAAUUGUUUAUGUUGCCCUGCAAGAUGGUGAUGUCAAAAUGGCAGAUGCCACAACAGCAAAGACCGAAAAGAAGGCGCCUAAAACAUCUGCAACUCCUAGUGCCUAGACUUCUAGAUCAAAAACCCUAUUUGUUGGCAACCUAUCCUAUUCAGUCGAAAGAGCUGAUGUAGAGGAAUUCUUCAAAGGUGCUGGUGAAGUUGUUGACACCCCAUUUGCAUCAAAUGAAGAGGGUGUCUUCAAGGGAUUUGGCCAUGUUGAGUUUGCCACUAAUGCAGCAGCUCACAAGGUAAGGGCCAUGUGUGCUGAAAUUGAUAUGGUUUUCUUGGUGCAUGUAUAUGUAGACGCCUGGUUUUUAUUUGUUGUUCCUUCACAUGGGUGAGGUUCCUUCUACUCGAUAGUUUCUUUCAUGUAUCAUAUAGCUUAGGCCAGAUGUGUGAACCUUCCAAUCAAUCCAUCCAUACAAUCUUUGGUAUGAAUCUAAUCACCUUGGCUUCCCUUUCA